rnacentral:rRNA from 1 species
GACAGAGGAUGCAAGCGUUAUCCGGAAUUAUUGGGCGUAAAGAGCUCGUAGGCGGUUUGUCGCGUCUGCCGUGAAAGUCCGGGGCUCAACUCCGGAUCUGCGGUGGGUACGGGCAGACUAGAGUGAUGUAGGGGAGACUGGAAUUCCUGGUGUAGCGGUGAAAUGCGCAGAUAUCAGGAGGAACACCGAUGGCGAGGGCAGGUCUCUGGGCAUUAACUGACGCUGAGGAGCGAAAGCAUGGGGAGCGAACAGG